CACAUCCAGCAUGUUGCCCAUGCCCCCAACCACACACUGACUCUAAUUAUGAAGGGGCAAACACGUCAUUUCACCCGAGCGGCGGUGGGUGGGCGGCUGCAUUUCAUCCCUUCUCCACGGAUCCAGUCAUAUCGUCAACCAUACCGACCAAGACGGCCGCCGGCGAGCUGCAGAUCAUCUGCGAGGGAUCCGCCCCGCUGCCCUCCUCUUUGCCAGGCAGUACUCUAUUCGUACUCACAACAGCAUGGAUGACCAUAGAUCCGAGUCUGGUAGCCGCGCCGAGCAUCGGGAUGGUUGUGGCAAUGACACCCCGGGCGCAACCGCCGUCGGAGAUGAUUCCGACCUGGACGGGUCAUCCUCCAGCGCUGUGCCCGGAGAUCCACCCACGCCAACAUCACGCAUCUCCUUGAAGCAUGCAGUCAGUGUAAUUCAGACUUUUGAUGACUACAAGAAGUGGUUAGUAGAGCAGAUUAGGUUUGGAGGUAUGCUGAAGCUGCCAGCACUACAGAAGCUGAGUCUGAAGACGAGCGCGUGGAUUAUGAGCAGAGUUAGCGUCAGCCGCAGGGAGAUUAAAUUGAGGGACAACAAGGUUCUUAAGUUUUACCCACAGGAUUUCUACAAGGUUUUUGGGAUCCCAUGCGGCCACCGUAGUGUCAAGGGGAGGGAUGCAAACAUCAAUCCUGAGGCUGUUCAUUUUAUAAAGACAACACUUCAGAUGAACAAAACUGGAGUACACAGCUUGAGGGCAGCUGGAGAUUUUCUGAUGCGUGACAUCAAUGAGAAUUCAAGCAAACUAGAGAAAGAUUGUUUCCAGAUCGCAUUUGUGAUAUUCGUUAUGGGUCAUGUGCUAGUUCCAACCACGAAGCACAACUACACGACCAUUGACUUUUGGGGAGCCAUAGCAAACAUUGAAUCAAUCGAUCAAUUUAACUGGUGUGAGUAUGUCCUUCAGCACCUUCUCGAUGCAGUGAAGAAGCUUAAGAGAGACAUGAUGGCC